rnacentral:rRNA from 1 species
GACGAACGCUGGCGGCGUGCUUAACACAUGCAAGUCGAACGGAAAGGCCCUGCUUUUGUGGGGUGCUCGAGUGGCGAACGGGUGAGUAACACGUGAGUAACCUGCCCUUGACUUUGGGAUAACUUCAGGAAACUGGGGCUAAUACCGGAUAGGAGCUCCUGCUGCAUGGUGGGGGUUGGAAAGUUUCGGCGGUUGGGGAUGGACUCGCGGCUUAUCAGCUUGUUGGUGGGGUAGUGGCUUACCAAGGCUUUGACGGGUAGCCGGCCUGAGAGGGUGACCGGCCACAUUGAGACUGAGAUACGGCCCAGACUCCUACGGGAGGCAGCAGUGGGGAAUAUUGCACAAUGGGCGGGAGCCUGAUGCAGCAACGCCGCGUGCGGGAUGACGGCCUUCGGGUUGUAAACCGCUUUCGCCUGUGACGAAGCGUGAGUGACGGUAAUGGGUAAAGAAGCACCGGCUAACUACGUG